UACGUAGGGUGCAAGCGUUAAUCGGAAUUACUGGGCGUAAAGCGUGCGCAGGCGGUUCUGUAAGAUAGAUGUGAAAUCCCCGGGCUCAACCUGGGAAUUGCAUAUAUGACUGCAGGACUUGAGUUUGUCAGAGGAGGGUGGAAUUCCACGUGUAGCAGUGAAAUGCGUAGAUAUGUGGAAGAACACCGAUGGCGAAGGCAGCCCUCUGGGAUAUGACUGACGCUCAUGCACGAAAGCGUGGGGAGCAAACAGG
rnacentral:rRNA from 1 species